rnacentral:tRNA from 1 species
GGAGAGGUGGCCGAGUGGUUGAAGGCGGCGGUUUGCUAAACCGUUGUACGGUCGAAAGGCUGUACCCAGGGUUCGAAUCCCUGCCUCUCCG